rnacentral:misc_RNA from 1 species
GAUGAAGAACGUAGCGAAAUGCGAUACUUGGUGUGAAUUGCAGAAUCCCGUGAACCAUCGAGUCUUUGAACGCAAGUUGCGCCCGAAGCCAUUAGGCCGAGGGCACGCCUGCCUGGGCGUCACACGUCGUUGCCCCCCCAUCUACUCCUUCGGGAUUGCGGGGGGCGGAUGAUGGCCUCUCGUGCGCCUCGUCGCGCGGUUGGCCUAAAUGCCAAGUCCUCGGCGACGCACGCCACGACAAUCGGUGGUUGCGAAACCUCGGUUGCCUGUCGUGUGCGGUCGUCGCGCAUCGAGGGCUCGAAAAAAUUGCCGGGCUUCGGCUCGACUUUCAGCGCGACCCCAGGUCAGGCGGGGUUACCCGCUGAAUUUAAGCAUAUCAAUAAGCGGAGGA